rnacentral:tmRNA from 1 species
GGGGCCGACUGGAAUCGACAGGUUAGCGGUGGUUCUGUUAGCAUGCAGUGCGUUGUUAGUAUUGCACUUAAAUAUAAACUUUCACACUUUUUACAUGGCGAAAAUAACUACGCCCUAGCUGCUUAAUUUAGAAUUAAGAUAGCUUAAUUGUUCCAAUUAGGACUUGUCUCGCCUCCUAAUUAUUGUGAACAUCGAUUGCGAGGCUGGCAGAUGUGAUGUUGCUAAUCAUUUGCGAGAUAUAGCAAAUAAGGUGGGAGGUAUAGGUUGGCUUUUGACCUUCCCUCACUCGAAAAUCAAAUAAAAGCUAAGCAUGUAGAAGGCAUAAUUUGCUCUAUCUCUGGACGAGAGUUCGAAUCUCUCCGGCUCCACA